UAGCUAUGGCACAACCAGACAAAAAACGUAAUCUUCUGCAUCUGAUGAGAAUCUUGCUCAGCGAGAGUAAUUGACAAUGCAAAGUUUCAGAUAUACGUUCCUUGCUUUUUUUUUUUGAUUUUCUCCUGGCUCAAACGGGUUCCAUCUCUUGGUCAUCUCAUGACCAUGAUCGUCAGAAAGCUUCAGUUGUGCGUGCGUUGUUCGUAAGCAAGCUUCCACCGGAACUCCCCAAAUGACUUGAGAGCUCCAUAUAAUAUCACCCCAAUGAGGCAACCUUUUGCACUUGGCGUGCCAAUGCGCAUUCGCCAAUGUGCAUUCUCCUGUCAGUGACCAAGAAAGGCUAGCGUUCACGCUAUUUUGCUCAAUGUGUUUUGCAGUGGGGAUAUAAAUAAGGGAUGUGUUCUUUUGUACCGUACUGCCUAGCAAAACGAUAAAUGAAUUCGUGUAAACAAUAUGUUGUGGCUGCCCUAUGCGCAGAUUGUAAUCAAAUAUCGCCACAUGGUAUAGCCUUAUCACUAGUGUUGUAUAUAUUUGGUUCACGCCGUUUUCGAAA